GCGGGCGUCGUAUAAUGGCUAUUACCUCAGCUUCCCAUGCUGAAGACGUGGGUUCGAUCCCCAUCGCCCGCUCCA
rnacentral:tRNA from 1 species